rnacentral:rRNA from 1 species
GCUAAAAAUCUAGCCCCCAAAUAACCCACAUAUAACCAAUAAUGAACUAAAAUAUUUUACCAUUUAAGUAAAGAUGAUUAAAAACCUAACAAGAGCUAUACCAAAGUACCGCAAGGGAAAGAUGAAAUAAAAUGAAACACCCUUAAGCAUUAUAAAGUAAAGACUACAACUUGUACCUUUUGCAUCAUGGUUUAACUAGUUUACCCAAGCAAAAAGACUUUUAGUUUGACCCCCCGAAACUGAGCGAGCUACCUCAGGGCAGCUUACCGAGCAAACCCGUCCCUGUUGCAGAAGGGUGGGAAGACCCUGUAGUAGAGGUGAUAAGCCUAUCGAGCUUAGUGAUAGCUGGUUACUCAAGAAAAGAAUCUUAGUCCAACCUAAAGCUUUUCUUUUUCACCCACAAGAAAUUCUACUUUAGAGCAAUUCAAAUAAGGUACAGCUUAUUUGAUACAGGACACAACCUUACACAACGGCUAAUAUACACUACCAUUAAACUAAGUA